rnacentral:lncRNA from 1 species
UCGGGAACAGUGCUGCACAGCCUUGGUACCAUCUGAACCGUGGCGGCGCGUGGACCUCACGCCCCUCCGCCACCGGCGGCGCGUGGGUGCACACGCCGCCCAGAAAAAAAAUCGUGGGCAGGGGGUUGUGCUGAUCUCCUUCCCUCUUCCCUUCCUUGUCGUCGGUGGGAAACAAAAAUCACCUGCAAACACACAAAAAACGCAGCAACAGUCUGUUUUAAAUUUUUUCUUUAUUUCAAAAUCUGCUUCGUUUUUUCUUCUUUUUGGCAGAUCUGUUCCCGGUGCUCUGCCUCCUUCCUUCUCUGUCUCCGGCAACCGAUUAGUCUUCUUCUCCUCUGUUUCGGGUUGUAGAUCGGGCGGUGAGGUUGUCCUGGCUGCGAGGAGAGCGACGGCCAGCGGAGGGGCGCGUCCGGCUGCUGUGGCGACCGUCGCUGCUGAGGAGAUCGAAGAAGAACAUGCUGCCGAGAGAGAGGUUUCAGUGUUGAUGGGUCCGGCAGGAUGGAGA